AGAGUCCUAGGAUGUACGUAAGACCCAUACGUUUUGAGCCCAACAGAUAUUGAUACGGGAUUCCGGAGUUUCCUUGGGGAAUGGAGCCGGGCACGCGUGCUCGGAUGUGAAGCAAGGAAUAGGAUGCACCCUUCUUAGAUUGGGAAUAGUUUUGAGCAGGUUCAAAACUUAGGUUAGUUACGGCAUGGAUGGGACUCUA
rnacentral:other from 1 species